GUAUUAACUUAAAUCAUUAAAAUUCGUUAAUCUUAAUUAACCUAGAUGAGUAUUUAGAACUUUUUCUUAUUUUUGAGUUUGUAAAAAUUAAAUCUUUCAAGUAAGGUGAACGAUUUUGCUGUGUUUAAUUUAUACAAAAUGUCUCUUUAAAGUUUCAUUAACUCAAAAUCUUUCAGCCCAGUGAUUUUGCGUGUGACGUCAUCCAGGUUCACGUACGUUCUCGUGCUUCAUUCGUUUUUUCAAGAUGGCGGAUCGGCCUCGCUUCACACUACACUUGUUGCAUGCUGAUCCAUACACGAGAGCCUAACGGAGAACAUUUAAGCUGUGCUCCUCACCUGAGCAGAAUUGAAGGUCGGUUGUUGCUGACUACAGAAAGAUUCUUAUAUGGAGGCAUGUAAAAGCAAGGAAAGUGAAACUUCAGCUAGACCUUGAGUUCAGUUUACAAUAUGAAGAUCCUGAUAUCAACAUCUGAUCUGAUCAACACCUGAUUUUCAUCUGAGCUGCAGAGUACCAACAUGUUACAAAUGAGAAUUUUCCCCACAAAUUCUUUGGACAACCGCACCACCACCAAUUUCAUUUGAUGACAAUUUUAAGGCAAACAGCAUCCAAAACUGACAAGACAGCAGAUACCCUGGCUAAUCUUUUGAAGGUUUAUGAUGAGCAGGAACUGCAUGAUGUCAGUUCAUGAUGGACUACUGUUAUCAGAGGUCUUUUGGUCUUGCUGCGUGAGCGUGACUGGGGAUUCUUUAGGACCAUCCUGAUUAAUAAUCCUGAAGUGCUGACUGAAGAUGCUUUAUUGGCCCUGCAGUCACUGAGGGUCUCUGCUGUCCUGAAGAAUGAAUUGGACACCACCCACAGCACACUUCCAGACCUUUUUUGUCUUGUUUGGAUUAAUGUAAGCUCUUCACAUAAUAUAUAGUAAAGGACUUUGAACUUGUACAAAAAGUUUUGCUUGGCAUGGAUGAUAGAAAAUAGAAAGUCGAUUAGCAUAGAAUCCUUAAAGAAUGAGUUGAUGUAGAGCCUUUUUUUGUACUCAAUAAAGACUGUCACUGGGGUAGUAACUUCAAAACAUGAAUGUACCUUUAAUUGGUAAUGGUGCAUUUUAUUAUAUAUAUAUAUAUAUAUAUAUAUAUAUAUAUAUAUAGAGAUAGAUUGUCUAAAACGUAAAAUUC